AGCGAACGUUAGCGGCAGGCUUAACACAUGCAAGUCGAGCGAGAAAGGGGCUUCGGCCCUGAGUAAAGCGGCGGACGGGUGCGUAACACGUGGAUAAUCUGCCCUUCAGUGGGGAAUAACGUUCCGAAAGGAACGCUAAUGCCGCAUGUCACAGCAAUGUCUCUGGACAAAGUUGGAAAGGGGACGCCCGCAAGGGGUUCUCGCUGGAGGAUGAGUCCGCGGCCCAUCAGCUUGUUGGCGGGGUAAUGGCCCACCAAGGCGAAGACGGGUAGCUGGUCUGAGAGGAUGACCAGCCACACUGGGACUGAGACACGGCCCAGACUCCUACGGGAGGCAGCAGUGGGGAAUAUUGGACAAUGGGCGAAAGCCUGAUCCAGCCAUGCCGCGUGAGUGAUGAAGGUCUUCGGAUUGUAAAGCUCUGUCUUUAGGGACGAUAAUGACGGUACCUAAGGAGGAAGCCACGGCUAACUACGUGCCAGCAGCCGCGGUAAGGUAG
rnacentral:rRNA from 1 species